rnacentral:lncRNA from 1 species
CCGGGCGCGGAGAGGAGAGUGGGGUACAGGCACCGGGAGCUAGGGAGCCCCUGUGCGGUGCGCGGGGCUGCUCUCCCUGACCCCUCGCUGUCUCACGCUUUCUCUUGCAGAUGCGGCUGGAGAUGCUGCGGUGGGCUCGCUGCUGCUGCUGGCUGGGUGUUUGCCUCUCGCUGCUGGGGGAAGGGGGAGGAGGCAGCGGCGCUGCCGGCUGCCGGGGCACCCUGUGUGGCGACGGCGGCGGUGAUCGAGAUCCGCCCAGACAGCAGUGCCUGGGGCCCCGCUGCUCGGGCAGAGCCAGCCGCCCGUCCCGCUCCUUCCCUCACACCGUCACGCCCGCCCGCGGCAAGCAGGCGCCGAGCGCCCCGCACGCUGCCCCUCUCCCCGCCUUCCCCUCCAGGAGCACGGCCGAGCUCAGCCCGGAGCUCCCUGCCCCGGCCGCUAGGGGCGCCGGGGAGACCUGCCUGGGAGGGGACUGCGCCGCCCGGGCCCCCAACGGCACCAGCCGGGACUGCAAAGGCGUUGAAUGCAAAUUGCCCCUGCGGCUCCGCCACAGGUCCCGGCCGGGCAGCAGGGCUCAGUGCGCCCAGCAGGGAGAGCCCUGCCCGGAGCCCGCCCUGCUCCGAGAGGCAGAGCGAGCCGCCCAGUUCCUCGCGGAAGACUUCGCCUACCCGGCCUCGGAGCUGGGCGUGCAGCUCACCUGCGACCUCAAACCAGGAGAAAAUGAAGUUCCAUCUGAAGAUGCACUAAUAUUACAACUGCAGCUUGCAAAAGGCCAAGAGAAAUUUGUUGAAAUGUUAAAAAGCCAACAGAAGAUAAUUGUGGAUUUGCAACAAAAACUUGCUGAACAACAGAGCACGUUAGUUAGCCAGCAACGAGAAAUUCUUGAACAACAAAGAAAAAUGUAUGAGCAAAUGGAUCUGAUAAAAGUCCAGUAUGGCAUGCUUUUCGACACAGUGAAACAAAUGUCAUUCCAGAGUUUGCAUGAGGAUAUUCAACAUUAUUUUGAAGCUCAGCUUCAAGGACUUCAGAACCAGGUCAGAAAUCAUCUCCAGAAGUCAUACUCUGUACAUAAAGUAGAAGUUGAUGCAAAAGUGAUUGAUGUUGGGGAGUCUUUGCUGGACUGCGGCCUUUGUAAAACUGAUGAAUUUUGCAAUUUUCAAAAGACACCAUCACAGUGUGAAAAAUGCACCUUGUGCCCUGCUGGCUUUUUCCAAAUGUCUGAAUGUUCUGCAAACGCCGAUCGGAUUUGCCAGGACAGAGACGAAUGCAUUGAAUCUCCCAACAUUUGUGGUGAGAGAAUAAAAUGCCUGAAUACUCCAGGGAUUGCUCUGUUGACAUCUUGGAUCGUAGUGUCAGGAUUCCAGCUCAGGCUCUACUUCUUACAAAGCAUUCUCUUGAACUCAGAUUUUGCAGGACCUACAAAAAUAUGAGGGAAGGCCUUCCAUCAAACUUCAAAUUUUGACUAUGCUGUAUUUGGAUGGGAUUACAAUAUUUAUGGAAUUGCUUGUGUGUCCUAAUAUGGAUGUACUCAGUGAAAUUUUUUACAGCACAGAUCAUGUACAUGCUGUAAUUGCUUACUUUGUAUGUGUUUUAUGUAUUGGUUAGAAAUGGCACUAGGCAGGUACCAGUGAGAAUUAUAAAUAUUAAGGCUAAGGAAAAGCUUUCAGAGUAGAAGUGCUUCACUACACUAUGCUCCUGAUUCUGCACUCCUAGCAAUCCCAAAACUUUCAAGUCAAAGGCAGUUUUGGAUGCACUAUGGCCGGAAUGCAAAGUCUGGCUCCUAAGUGGUUAAACUAAACAUCACAAAUACUGCUUCUCUUUCACUAUUUGUUAUCUCAGAGGAUGCAGGCAGAUUAGGACAGAUCACUGUCUCUCCAAAUACUUCUUUAACAAUAAUUUACAGCAAAUUUCACUUUCAAGUGGGUUGUAGCCAAUUGUUUCCUUGCCCUCCUCACUAAAAAUACCCUACAUCUAUAUUUCAGUCCAGAUUUUGCCUUUGGUUACACGAACGUAAGCCUGGAGUAACUAGGAAUCACUUUUGAUUUACACCAGUGUAACUAAGAGCAGACUAUGGGCCUCCAUAUUUUUAUAUGUGCUCUGAAGCCAGUACCAUGUACUGUAUGACAUGAUCACCAACAGUGCCCUGUAAUCCUACACCAAAUAUUAUUCAAAAGGAAUUGGGCAUAGUGAAAAUGAACGUUAAUGUUAUGGUACCCAAAAUGUAACCAAAUUGCAUAUUUUCCCUAUAAUUGGUUU